GAAAUGCUUUCAAGGUGUAGCAUAAGCCAUGGAUACACUCUGAUAUGAUUCCCAACAUGCUUCGCUGAUGAUGGUUCCUCUAUCAAAGCAUCAUUAUGCUAAGGCCUACAGAUGGAGAAUGAUACUACACAAACAUGGAUACGUCCCUGAGGUCCACCAUCAGAGCCCUGUUCCAGUCAGGGGGGUGCAGGCAAGCCACGCAUUCACUGCAUCUUUCAUGAGGUGGAACGAGCCUUUUGUGUGCAAUAUUUAUGAUCUGCGCUCAUGAAUUCAAAAACAAUACUUGACUUCUCACUGCAGGUCGCAAGGAGGGGUGGCAGCUGCCAGAGGCGGCCUGUAACUGGCCUGAGGAGGCCCCUCUUGCUCCAGGCUGCAGUGUGGAGCCGCUGCGGGUCUUUGAUGGGCUCCACAGAUCCCUCUCUCUCUCUCUCCCUGAUUGCCCCCUGUUUAUUAUGUCACAGUAUAACAGUGCUGUCAAUCAAGAGAUCUAUGAGAUCACUUCCUCUAAAUCAGGUAGAUUGACUCCUUAAGAGUUAUUGGAGGCCUCACUUCCAUUAGCCAAUCACAACUGCAAAUGAACUCAUACUGUAUGUGCUUGGCUCA